CUCUAUUGCAUAUAAAGCGGAAACGCUCCAAAAUUUCAAAGCCCCAAAUAGUUAAAAAGAAGUCCGCUGACUCGUUUCCCCGACUCAGCACCAUAAGAAGUCCGCCAAAUCUUUUCCCCGACUCAGGAUCAACGGCUCACCAGCUAUGGGCGAAUCCAUAACCAUCGACGGCAUGGACCAGGACUCGGCACUUUCCAAGUCAGAGUUUCUGAGUCGGCCAGAGGUACUUCGUCGGCGGUCGCGGCGGGUGAAGCAGCUGGCGAGGCUCUACAAAGCUCACUACUGGAAUCUAAUGGAGGAGCUCAAGAGAAAGCACAAGGAGUACUAUUGGCUGUACGGGAAGAGCCCCUUCAAAGAAGAUGAAAAGAAGAGUAGUGAAGAGAACGAUGGGAACAAGUUAGGGUUAGGGUCUGAGUUGAAGUGUCAGAUUUCUGAUUGUAAAGAGAAAGCGAUGGCGUUGACGAGGUUUUGUCAUAAGCAUAUUUUAAACGAUUCAAAGCAGAUGCUUUAUCGAGGCUGUAAUUUUCCUAUCAAGAGUGGCCAGAUAUGUAAGAAACCUGUACUAAGAUCCAUUAAUCCUCCUCAUUGCCCUGUCCAUGCUCAAGCGGCUGAAAAAUAUCUUGCACGAGCACUGAAAAGGGCAGGCCUUAAUUUCUCUUCGCCAAGUAAGCUUGCUCCCAAGUUGCACAUUGUUGUUGCAGAGUAUGUUCGCCAGAUUCAAACUAAAAGAAGAGCUGCACAACGAAAAGCUGUACCCAAAAUCGAGAUUGAGGAGAAAAUGAGUGAAAGCUGAAUAAAUUCUGCAGAAACAUGUUGAGCCAACAGAGUUAGUUGGUCUAUUGCUGCUGAUGGUGCUGACAUAUUUCAGUCUGGGCCAAGUAGGUUUCUAACUCAGUGGAGCUAGGGUAGGGUACAGUGCAACAUUGGAUUUGUUCCUUGGAGACAAUUUUUUGUGCAUAUAAUGUGAAGAUAUUCAUAUUUUACACCUUAUGGAUGGCGUUUUUGGGGGACAACGCAGCUGAGACGUGGUUUGGCUUGUUUAUUGUAGGUUAUUCAUGUUGUCCAAUGAUGAAAUUGGAGACACCAAAGUGUAGAUUCAGUUAUAUCAGCAAAGGAGCAAUGGUGAUGUGAGUUGCAUAUAAUUGGGUAUUACUUGGGGUGAAUGUUCCAAAAGCUAUUUUAGAAUUUUGGUUAACUUUUAAUUCUUAAUAACUCUCUAUUAUCAACAAUUGUUUGCAUCAAUUUAACUGUACUCUGGCAGCAAUUAUUUGUAACAUUUAACUAAAUGCACCACAUUCGGUCAAUAAAGCAAAUUGACAUAU